GGGGGUUUAGGCCUUCGCUCCGCCCCGUGGCAGAAAACGCACCCACUUCCAACCUUAAUUCCCUUUCCCGGGUUCAGAACCAUACACUAGGUGAUGAUUGUCGGCCCACCGUCUGCCUGUACCCCAAAUUUUAUUCUCUGAAGAAAGAGAACCACUGGCUUCCCCCCACUUUUUAAAAAAUUCAACCCCGGGGAAGGGNNNNNNNNNNNNNNNNNNNNNNNNNNNNNNGGGCCAAGACUCAGCCUGGGGUCAAAGCAGAUGGCUGUGAGUGGCUAGUGUCGCUUGAUGGAACCUCCAUGGACAGGGCAAGUCUAGCUGCGAACGCCAAAUGCCGGGGACAAGGAACGAGUUAGAGGGCCAAGACUCAGCCUGGGGUCAAAGCAGAUGGCUGUGAGUGGCUUGUGUCGCUUGAUGGAACCUCCAUGGACGGGGCAAGUCUAGCUGCGAACGCCGAAUGCCGGGGACGAGGAACGAGGAAGAGCUGUGACACUCCAACCCCGUUGUGGGCUUCCCAGGAGCACCUGGUUGGACGUGGGAUGCUCUAGGAAAGGAAGGUGGGAGAGCUUGGUCUCAGCAAAAUAUUUCGGGACGGCCCUGUCCAACCUUAGCAGGCCAGUUGCCUUUGCCAGGUCAGAUCUGUGGGCCAAGUUGAGACAAAAUAAAAAUGGGGAGUCCCUGGAAAUGGAUUUUGUUCGGGAGCUGGGGCUGAAGCUCCCAUCCUCCACAGCCAGAAAGGAUGGGAGUUGUAGUUCAACCCACCAGGAGCUUGUGGGGCUGGGGAAGAUAGGAUUUAUGAUGAGUGAAGUGUGGGAUUUCGGAGCAAAGUUGCUGUGGCAGAGCUGUGAGAGGCGUCCCUUAUUCCAUCAUCCUUCACUAUCUUGAGGUGGAUGUCAGCUGAGCUUGGCUUAAGGUGGUCCUCCUCCUUCCCUCUGUGGGGAUCUUGAAUCUCUAGAUACUUGAUAAGAGUUCAGGGCAUGUAAUAUUCAGCAUCCUUGGAAAAAUACAGUAUUUGGGGGGAGAUAUCACAGCACUGAAUCGAAUAUGAUCUUAAGAUGUUGACACAGGCCAGCAGUGAAAAUAUCCAUUUAUAAUCCUGGCCCAUCAAUGUCCUGGUGGGUGACCCUCUUAGGGGGUCCUUCUAGAAGUCUGUGCUGGUCUGGAUCAGUCCAUCUCGAUCCAACGUCUUGAGGAGUUAGGGCUUCUUUCUCUCCACCUGGGGACAGAUGGAGCCUCCGUAGGGGCCAGCCCCCCCGGGUAUUUUCAUUCAGGGGGGGCUAUACCACAUGCUACAGACUUUUCCUCCCACUUGGAAUGUGGAGAGAUGCUUUGAGUGAGGCAGAUAGUUCAUCCCCCAUUUCAUAGUGGUUGUGGGGGGGUCCCCCCAAAAAAGGCAUGAGAGGUCCAGAUUCCAGACGGGGCCUCUGGCAUCUCCCCACUGCCUGAUUUUGUGGGGUGGUGGAUCGUAAUCUGGGUCUCUUUCUGCUUCCUCGUUCAAUCCCCCUGCCCUAACCCUCCCUUUCUUCCCUCCUUUGCGCACAAUUUAGAAAAGACUGUUGCACACAAGUGAAUGUGGAGAACGGGGAGGGGGGACCUCCCCACAAAGGGGUGGGUGCGUGCGUGUAUGGGGGGGGUAAUAUUGAGAUUGGUCAUGUUGAUGUCGACAUUAAAAAAAAAUAACUUUGUGGAGUCCCCUGACUUGUGGGGGCAAUAAAGAUCUUUGAAAAUGCA
rnacentral:lncRNA from 1 species